UACGUAGGUGGCGAGCGUUGUCCGGAUUUACUGGGCGUAAAGAGCGCGCAGGCGGCUGGUCAAGUCCGAUGUGAAAGCUCCCGGCUUAACUGGGAAAUUGCAUCGGAAACUGAUCGGCUGGAAGGUGGGAGAGGGUAGCGGAAUUCCCGGUGUAGCGGUGAAAUGCUUAGAUAUGACAUAGAACACCAAUUGCGAAGGCAGUUGACUACGCCAGUAUUGACACUGAGGCACGAAAGCGUGGGGAUCAAACAGG
rnacentral:rRNA from 1 species